ensembl:misc_RNA Metazoa_SRP Metazoan signal recognition particle RNA
GCCGGGCACGGUGGUGGGCGCCUGUAAUCCUAGCUACUCGGGAGGCUGAGGCAGAAGAACUGCUUGAACCCAGGAGGCAGAGAGUGCAGUGAGCCGAGAUUGUGCCACUGCACUCUAGCCUGGGUGACAGAGCAAGAUUCUGUCUCAA